GGGAUAGCUCAACUGGUAGAGCCCUGCACUGGUAUUGCAGAGGUUCAAUUCCCAUUCAAGCCU
rnacentral:tRNA from 1 species